rfam:Stegodyphus mimosarum contig96890, whole genome shotgun sequence.
GCCUUCGUGGUGUAGUGGUCUGCAUGCCCGUCGCGUAACCGAGAGGUCCGUGGUUCAAUUCCCGGCGAAGACU